UGCCCCCGGGGUCGGGGGGGAGUAACAGUCGGAAACGAUUGCUAAGACCGCAUACGACCCUCUGUUGCAGGAUAGAGGGGGAAAGGCAGUGAUGUGCCCUGGGAGGGCUCCGCGUCGGAUUAGCUAGUUGGUGGGGUAACGGCCUACCAAGGCCGCGAUCCGUAGCUGGUCUGAGAGGACGGCCAGCCACACUGGGACUGAGACACGGCCCAG
rnacentral:rRNA from 1 species